rnacentral:lncRNA from 1 species
UGAAACAUAACCUCAUAUCUCAUAUCAUAAAGACCAUGUACAUACAAGUGGGAUUAACAAUCUGUAUUGGUCAAGCACAACUCUAUCCUCAAUAUUCAAAUUACAUAACAUAACUUAAAACACUUUUACAUUACAUCAUAAUACAAUUGUCAUGUCCACAAUCUAACUAUUACAUAAACAUAACUUCCACACUCUGGCUAACCUCCUGAUCUACCCUGUACCUGCACAUCUGGGGUUAGGGGAGAGGGGUGAGCUAAAAAGCUCAGUGAGCAGAAUAGAAAAACAUGUAUUUAAAAUUUUCAUGCUAUCAUAGGAUGCAACACAACACAAACAAGUCACAUCAAGGAUGGUAUUGUCACCCAUAGUCCUCAACAUAGUCCAACUGUGCCAGGGGCGUAGAAUGGGCCUCACUGGUCUUUCUCUUUCUCUGUGCCAGGGGCGUAGAAUGGGCCUCACUGGUCUUUCUCUACCAUAACAUCAUCAUAUCAUAGCAUAAGAGGACUAGAGGAUCAUUCAAUAACCAAUCCACAUCCAUAUCAAAUUAUGCAAUGCAACAUAUUCGUGAAAACUAAUGCAAACACCCUAUAAUAUCACAUGGCAUAUAUGAUGCAUGAACGUGCUCAAAAGUUAUAUUUCAUUUGUUUAAAAACUUAAGGUUAUUCCACUCACCUCUGGCUGAAGCUCUACAGACUCUGAAGCAGCUAUCUCACUGCUGAGGUCCUCGGUUCCUCGGGUCCGAACCUACAGGUGGACUCCAAUGAGGGACCUAACAUUAUGAACAUAACUCUAAUCUACUCUCUAAAAACCCCCUAAAAUAUCAUGAAAUAAUCAUAGAAACACAUGCAUGAAAUGGCUGGACAGGGCACUUUCGGCGGCAGGUUCGGCGGCCGAAAGUCCCAGACAGAGACGAAAGUCUCUUUUCGGGGGCAACUUCGGCAGCCGAAUGCUGCCUCCACAAAGGGGGUUCGGCGGCCGAAAGUCACUUCGGCGGCCGAACCUGAGCUUCUCCCGAAGGGCAGAAACUCAGCUCCUCUAUGCACAUUUCACCUCCCAAGCUCAAAUCAUGCAAAAACUAGUUCUAAAACAUGCAUACUCAUCAUACAUCACACCUAGGGGUCUCAAACUAUCAUAUACCCCAACUACAACACUUCAAACACACAAAAACCAACAUACAUUGUUCAAAAUCAUAAUAUAAAUCCAAAUAUUCAAAUAACCCUAACAUGCAUUUCUACCCCAUAAAUCUACUUAAAACUUGUUAAAAACAUACAUUGAGCUCAAGAUCGGCUCUUACCUCUUGAAGAUCAAGAGAGAGACGACCUAAACUCGGAGAUCCAAGCAAAUGGGCUCCUGAGUCUCCCAAGCUCCAAAACUUGUUUUAAAAGCUCAAAACCUUCAAUGCAAGCUCAAAACUUAAGAAAAAUGGUGGGGAUUUGGAGGAAGAACAAAAGAUUUGGGAGAGGGAGGUUGGAAGCUAGCUGUGGC